AUCCCGUACAGGCCGUCAUCUCCACAGCAAAGCACGGCGCGCGCCUUGCUUUUCUCCCAACCGUGCGCCGUGCUUCUUCCCCUCUGUGCGGUGCUCCUGCUCCACUCCCGCGCGCGCGCGCUCCGCUCUGUUGCCGCGCGAGCCCCUGGCCCCAGCUUGGAUCUAGCCCGACCACAUCUCCGCUCGGCACUCCUCUGCUCGCCAUGGUUGGCGCGCGUCCUCCCUGCUCCUGCUCGGAGCUCCAGCUCGGCCGACCGCGCGGCUCCCAUGGCGCGCCUCGAGCUUCUCCCUGCGCGCUGCUCUCUGCCUCUCUUCUGGCCACGCUCGCCCAGCCCAGCCGUGCUUCUCUCCCUCUCUGCUCGCCGCGCGCGCUGCUCCCUGGGGCUCGCCGGACGUCGCUUUCUGGAUGGGUUCCCCUACAUCGCGCCCAGCUCGGAUCUUGCUCUGGCCGCGGCGCUUCUCUGCGGGCCAGCGUUUCUCCCUGCCAUGGAGCGCCUAGCGCCGCGCCCUGCUCCCUGGCAUCGCAGGCUCGCCGGCGUUUCUCCCUGAUUGCUCCAGCUCGCGACGCACGCCCAGCCACUCCUCCCUUGCUCCUCUGGUGCCGCGACUUCCAGCAGCUCGCCGACGACCGCUGGUGCCUUCUUCUGGUUCGGCCAUGCCGUGGUCUGGAACCUCGUCCGCACUUGUCCAUGGCGCCUGACCACGUGGCUCCUGACCUCGCUGGGUCUCAAGCUACCGCGGCGUCCUCAGCUCGUUCCCGGCACCGCCGUGUAGCGCUGCUGGCCGAGCUCUUCAGCCUUGUCCACUCCACUUCGACGUCGAGCCUCCAUGCUGACCGCGACUAUCACGCUAGCCAUCGUGGCGUCGCUAUUUUCUGCUGCGCCGCGACAUCGUUGAGCUCUGUGCUUAGCGUUGAAGUCGCUAUGCCGUUGUCGCUUUGGCUUCCUAUGUCCUCGCACGGGGUGUGACAGUCGUGUGUGUCUACAUCCGUGGCACCAACGUCUGCAUCCUCGGCAUCAUCGUCGUUUCAAUAGCUUUGUCGCAAGGUGCGUUCGCGCCGGAAGACGAAAGGGAAGCGCCAGUGCAACGCUCGUCAAGUAUCGAUGAUAUGUGCAAGCCGGACAACGUUGUCGAUUUCAUGGUUUCAAGUCGGAAUUAGCCUUGGUGAGUUGUCGUCGCUUCACCGUACUCGUUGGCAGUACGCCCUUGGAGCUCCCUGUUUGGUAAAAUAAAUGAAGCGGUGAUCAUCCUCAACCUAGCAAGAUUCAUAUUCGAUUUAGUGUGAGAACCAAAACCAAGUCGGCUCCAAGAUGUCGUAAAGCACGACCUACUCCGAACAGUGAUGCUGAUGAAUGAACCUGAAGAUGGAUAAUCUGAACGAGUGCCAAGACAAAGGAUGGUCGUCAAGUGGACGUCAUCUAACAAACACUAACGUAGUGUUUAUUCCAGAUGAAUUAAUUAUGCUUAUUGGAAAAGAUAAACAUUAUACAGCAGACAGCACAUUGGAAGCAAUGAACUAUAGCAAAUAUACCAUGCCAUGAAGACCGUCACCAAAGCACAUAAACUGGAGAGUGAAUUUCAAAGAAAAUGACCAGUUUCAGAUAAGGCGACUUAUGUGCAUUAGUCAAUGGUGCUCAUUUGUACAGUGAUAUGCCUCGGUUGAUACCAGAACAAUCACUUGCUCUUAUCAUACAACAGUUUGCUUUAGGCUUAUUUUGUGGCAGCUGAGCACACAUAAGCAAGAUCAAUGCCCAGACUACACUCCACAGUGUUUUCAGUUCACAAGUAAUUGCUCUGAUUAGCUCAGUCCAACAUGUUGCUAAUUCACUCGCUUACUUUGGCUGCAUCAGUUUUCUUUGCAUCAAUUUCCUCGUCAGGAGCUUCCUUGACUGGUUGUUGCACAUCAGUGUCAUGGGCAACUUGUUCUGAAGAUGCUUCCAAGUUGGCAGGCGUACUAACAAGAGCUGGCAAAGGUAUAGAGAUAGAACUAUCCAAAGAUGAUUCUGCCAGUUCAUCUACUAUUUUCUCUACCACUAUCUCAACUGAUGGGGCUGAAGAUUCUGUUGCAGUAGGGACAAUCUCGUUUGUACAUAUGUCGAUAUAGUGAUUUGAAGC
rnacentral:misc_RNA from 1 species